rnacentral:rRNA from 1 species
UACGUAGGUGGCAAGCGUUGUCCGGAUUUACUGGGCGUAAAGAGCGCGCAGGCGGUCGUUCAAGUCGCGUGUGAAAGACCCCGGCUCAACUGGGGGAGGUCGUGCGAUACGGGCGGACUGGAGGCCAGUAGGGGGAUGCGGAAUUCCGGGUGUAGUGGUGGAAUGCGUAGAGAUCCGGAGGAACACCAGCGGCGAAGGCGGCAUCCUGGACUGGUCCUGACACUCAUGAGCGAAAGCGUGGGGAGCGAUCCGG